CAACCUCAACUCAUAUGGGACUACCCCCUGAAUUUAAGCAUAUUAAUUAGGGGAGGAAAAGAAACUAACAAGGAUUUUCUUAGUAGCGGCGAGCGAAAAGAAAUCAGUUCAGCACUAAGUCACUUUGUCUAUAUGGCAAAUGUGAGAUGCAGUGUAUGGAGCGUCAAUAUUCUAGUAUGAGAAAUUAACGAUUUAAGUCCUUCUUAAAUGAGGCCAUUUACCCAUAGAGGGUGCCAGGCCCGUAUAACGUUAAUGAUUACUAGAUGAUGUUUCCAAAGAGUCGUGUUGCUUGAUAGUGCAGCACUAAGUGGGUGGUAAACUCCAUCUAAAACUAAAUAUAACCAUGAGACCGAUAGUAAACAAGUACCGUGAGGGAAAGUUGAAAAGAACUCUGAAUAGAGAGUUAAAUAGUACGUGAAACUGCUUAGAGGUUAAGCCCGAUGAACCUGAAUAUCCGUUAUGGAAAAUUCAUCAUUAAAGUUAUAAUAUUUAAACAAUAUUAUACAAAUAAUGUGCAUUUUUUCCAUAUAAGGACAUUGUAAUCUAUUAACAUAUUAAAUUUAUCAUAAAAUAUGGCUUAUAGUUUAUUCAAAUUAUUAUGCUUGCAUUUUAACAUAGAAUAAAUGUCAUUAAUUUGAUAAAGUGUUGAUAGACUAAUAAGAAUACAGUGCGUUAAUUUUUCGGAAUUAUAUAAUGGCAUAAUUAUCAUUGAUUUUUGUGUUUAUUAUAAGCACUUGUAUGAUUAACAAUGCGAAAGAUUCAGGAUUCCUUCGGGA
rnacentral:ncRNA from 1 species